AACCCAUGGUGAGGGCACCUUCUCAAUAAAUCCUUGUAUCUCCCCCAUGCAUCAUAAAGUGUUUCUAAAUCCAUCUACACAAAAGAAGAGAUAUCAUUCCUCAAUUU
rnacentral:snoRNA from 1 species